rnacentral:rRNA from 1 species
GAUGAACGCUGGCGGCGUGCUUAACACAUGCAAGUCGAGCGAAGCGCUCACGCGGAAUUUUUCGGAAGGAAGCGGGAGUGACUUAGCGGCGGACGGGUGAGUAACGCGUGGGUAACCUGCCCCAUACCGGGGGAUAACGGUUAGAAAUGACCGCUAAUACCGCGUAAGCGCGCGAGGCCGCAUGGCCCCGGGCGAAAAACUCCGGUGGUAUGGGAUGGGCCCGCGUCUGAUUAGCUGGUUGGCGGGGUAAAGGCCCACCAAGGCGACGAUCAGUAGCCGACCUGAGAGGGUGGCCGGCCACAUUGGGACUGAGACACGGCCCAA